rnacentral:sRNA from 12 species
AGUUGCAACAUCCCCGUGGGUUGGGUGAAGGCCUGGAGCCGACACAGUGAAUCCACUGCAACU